GAUGAACGCUGGCGGCGUGCUUAACACAUGCAAGUCGAACGGAAAGGCUCCUGCUUGCGGGGGUACUCGAGUGGCGAACGGGUGAGUAACACGUGGGUGAUCUGCCCUGCACUUCGGGAUAAGCCUGGGAAACUGGGUCUAAUACCGGAUAGGACGAUGGUUUGGAUGCCAUUGUGGAAAGUUUUUCGGUGUGGGAUGAGCUCGCGGCCUAUCAGCUUGUUGGUGGGGUAAUGGCCUACCAAGGCGUCGACGGGUAGCCGGCCUGAGAGGGUGUACGGCCACAUUGGGACUGAGAUACGGCCCAGACUCCUACGGGAGGCAGCAGUGGGGAAUAUUGCACAAUGGGCGCAAGCCUGAUGCAGCGACGCCGCGUGGGGGAUGACGGCCUUCGGGUUGUAAACUCCUUUCGCUAGGGACGAAGCGCAAGUGACGGUACCUGGAGAAGAAGCACCGGCUAACUACGU
rnacentral:rRNA from 1 species